UGCAAUGAGUAAGCCUCGCCCUGGGAAAACCACCUUCGUGAUCAUGGUAUCUCCCCUGCCAGGGCCACUCUUCUCUACAAUUAAUAUGAGCAAUCAGUAGUUGGAGUAAUGCCUCUGAACUCAGAGUUGGCUGCAGGAUGGACGGCACAAAACUAGAGACUUGGAGCACCGGACGGUAUCGAAGGGUGCACCUUCAGGCAUGGAAGACAAAAUGCAGGGCACAAAUGAAGAACCAGAGCCCAGACUAAGUGGCCUGUUAGUACGGCUGCUAUUAAAUUCUUACUUUACUUAGCUUUGUUAAUAUUUAGGUCUCAUCUACUCAUGAUUGUAAACUCAGACACUCUCUAAAACUAUCUUUCCCAGUUCUCAGUCUCCUUUAAAAAAAGAAAAAUGAGUUGCCGCUUAUAUAGCAAAUGUGUCUUUGGGACCUACCUACAAUUCGCCCAACAUGCUAAGUGUUACUGAAAACUCAAAAGAAGAAAUAUACUCUGCUCUCAAGUGACUUUUAUUCUCAUUGUAAAGACAAGAACAACACACAUCAACUAACAGAAAAAAUAAUAAAACAAA